UACGUAGGUGGCAAGCGUUUGUCCGGAUUUAUUGGGUUUAAAGGGUGCGUAGGCGGUCAAGUAAGUCAGCGGUGAAAUCCGGCAGCUCAACUGUCGAUGUGCCAUUGAUACUGCAUGACUUGAGUACUGAUGAGGUAGGCGGAAUUGACGGUGUAGCGGUGAAAUGCUUAGAUAUCGUCAAGAACACCGAUAGCGAAGGCAGCUUACUAAGCAGUAACUGACGCUGAUGCACGAAAGUGUGGGGGAUCAAACAGG
rnacentral:rRNA from 1 species